rnacentral:lncRNA from 1 species
UGAGUGAUUUGAUGCGACGCAACAGUGGUGUAAAAAAUGAAGGAAGAAUCCUCAACCGACGGUGGCGACACACCACCCAAGGCGGCGCAAGUCGCCUAAGGGUCAGCGUUGCACUGCCUGAGGCCGUAGUACACCUCCCCUGGCCGGUCGUGCACAGGCCCAUGUGCAUUGGCCUCUAUGCACAGGCCUAUUAUGCAGAUGACGCGCGCACAGUGCCUGGCCUUGUCCAUUGCGAUGUGACGUGCACGGACAAGCCUGUCUUCAUGCAAUGAGAUGUGCGCGCAGAACGGCCUCAUGCCCCGCGCGGACAGGACGUGCGCAUAAUGGGCAUGUCUAGUGCUGGCCACACGCGCACACAUGCGCACAGCGUACGAUGCCCACCUGGACGGGCCUUUCCCAUGGGCAUUUU